rnacentral:misc_RNA from 1 species
GUGAAGAACGCAGCGAAAUGCGAUACGUAAUGUGAAUUGCAGAAUUCAGUGAAUCAUCGAGUCUUUGAACGCACAUUGCGCCCCCUGGUAUUCCGGGGGGCAUGCCUGUCCGAGCGUCAUUGCUGCCCUCAAGCACGGCUUGUGUGUUGGGCCCCGUCCUCCGAUUCCGGGGGACGGGCCCGAAAGGCAGCGGCGGCACCGCGUCCGGUCCUCGAGCGUAUGGGGCUUUGUCACCCGCUCUGUAGGCCCGGCCGGCGCUUGCCGAUCAACCCAAAUUUUUAUCCAGGUUGACCUCGGAUCAGGUAGGGAUACCCGCUGAACUUAAGCAUAUCAAUAAGCGGAGGA